AAAUUGAGGGCUCUUCCUUUCUCCUCAGAAGAGGCACAAAUCGAGGGCUUAUAAACCAGAAUUAGCUUUUAUAUGUAGAGGCCUCGAUUUGUGCCUCUUCUGAGGAGAAAGGAGGCGGGGCUUAAUUCCCCCCUCACCCUUUUCGUUGUGGUGGGAAAAAUGUUUCUCCCGCUUCUUCCAUGUUUAUUCUCCUCAUAUUUCAUUUUUUUUCCCCCUCCUUAGUUUUGCUCUACUUUUGACCCAAGUUAAGCUGGCUUGUGAAGGGAAAGCACUUUUAUACCCUUUUUCAACCGUGCAUUUUACACAGAGAGAGAGAGAGAGAGAGAGAGGCGCCUCACUUUCCAAGUGAAAAGAGACUACAGUUCCAUUUUGAAACAUUGCUUUGAAAAUUGUUGUCAUCAUGUUUUGUCAAGUCAAUUCUGACUUGAGUAGAAGGAUACUCAAAAUUGGUUUCCCCUUGCCUUCUUCUGGGGGUAGUCCUGGGAUCCCUCAGCAGCUUGCUCAUUCAUUCAGUCAUUCAUUUAUUUUCACCACCAGCCUGAAACAGUACCUUGAGUCUCCUCUUUUUCAUUUAAAAAAAAAAUAAUAUAUUUUUUAAUGGAGCCCUCAGGAACCCUCAUCUUCUGGGCUUCAUGGGGACAUUUGAGAGGAAGCCCCAGAGGAGACGGAGACUCUUGGAAGGGAACUGUCUGGACUCCUUAUCGGAGAGAUGAAUCUUUAUUUUCCUGUGCUGUGUAUUCGUGUGGACGUGAACCGAGAAGAGCAGGUUUCAAGAAACCACAAUGAAGAACACAGAAAUGAUGAGAUUAACGCAGACAAAGAUGACGAGCCCACAAUAGACCGGCUUUGAAAGGCUCUUGAAAUCAAGCAGACGGACGAAGCUACAGAUUUAGUUCAUCAAAGAAAUGGACAUGCAGGAGAAAGCAAGUAUUUUUAUGAAAUGGCAUUCAGGUAAAGGUAAAGGUUCCCCUUGACAAUUUUUGUCCAGUUGUGUUCGACUCUAGGGGGUGGUGCUCAUCCCUGUUUCCAAGCCAUAGAGCCAGCGUUUGUCCGAAGACAAUCUUCCGUGGUCACAUGGCCAGUGCGAUUUAGACACGGGACGC
rnacentral:lncRNA from 1 species